UUGUGGAUCGGGGUUCCAAGAAGUGGGAAUUUGGAGUCCUGGGUUUCCUAGCUGUCUCUCUGCUGUCCCUCGAGCCGGGUCGAACCAGCUGCCCGAGCCCGAAGCCUUCCCAGCUCACCAUUCACAGGCGCCUCGUGGGCUCUUUUCCAUUGGCUUGGAAAGCGCGUUCAAGAAUCAUCGUUCAAUGGACUUGACCCACCGGUUGAGUAAAUGAGAUUCCAAACGCUUCCUGAUCUGGGAGGAUCCCAAGAAGAUCCCAGGGCGAGGGUCCUAGCCGGUCUCGGAGGUCAAGUAUGACUGGCGGAUCGUGGACGCUAGCUUUCCAGGGCCCCACAGGCGAGCCAGCGCAUGAAGACUUGGAAAAUCCUGCUUUCGAGUUCAAAGCAAGACAAAGUUGAUCGUUUCCACUUCGUCUACACCACAAGGCAGCUGUGAGUUCGCUAAUAGAGUGGUCUGGUUUCAGGGUUCUAGAACCUUCCCUCUACUCUCCCAGAUCCCAUCCACUGUAAAGCCACGGAGCCUGUGGUUGCUGUCCUAACAAUUUAUGGCAUUUUCACGCAACUGUAAAUGAAACUGUCUGGAAAUCACAUCGGCGCCUGCUUUGUCUUUGUACCCUACUGGGUGUCCAGGCUACAGGUAAGACUCGUGCCACCUGUAUAUGGAACUGGAGUUCUUAGAGCUGUGUUUACCUUUCAAAGAAGCUGUUUGCAGCCAGACUUUCCUAAAGUCAUUUAAAGCAAAAGCUCAGUUAAUCUCAAUUAAGUGCAUUAAACAACCUCUGCUGGAUUCUCCUGGGUGACAGAUCUCAGAACCGGGAUGAGACCUGGGGUCCCACCUGGUAACUCUAGCCAAUCAUUUUGUAUAAACAAACAACAACAAGAGACAUCUGUGUUCCGUACCGUCUCGAAACUGACUAUCUGCUUUAUAAACUCCACUUAGAAUCAUCGUCAAAUAUUGUUAUAAUCUUUUAAAAGCCAUGUGAGGCCAACAGAAAGCAUCAAAGUCCUUAUCCACCUUUAAGCCCUAACCCUUUAAGCCAGUUAAAGCCAACUUCCUAUCCCUGAGCCUGAGCUGCCGCAGAAAGCCUGAUGCUUAACUUACCAUCUCCUGCGUUUUAAUAUUCCUUUUUAAAAAACAUACUUGAUAAAUAAUGGUUCUAUUGGUUUUGCUCUUACAUGAAGGAAGCAUUAAUGUUUACUCACAGGAUGUGUGUGUGGAGUCAGUCACUCUAAGAGGAAUAAAAACUUUUAAGGUGAUUAAAGCCACCCAAAGGAAGAUUAGGAAAAAACAACUUUUCCUGAGAAGGCAAGGGACUUGUUUGACCCUUAUUUUUCUCCAUCAAUUUGCAACUACUAUACAGACAGACCCUUGUCAAUGGUAAAAAAUGUGCCUUUUAAAAUUCCCUAGAUUUAUUUUUAUUAUCUUAUGUGUAAGAGUGUUUGGCCUGUACAUAUGCCUAUGUACCACCUGUAUGUGUGCCUGGUGCCCAGAGGUGAUGCGCUUCAACAUGGGUGCUGGGAAUUGAACCCAGGUCCUUUGUAACACAAGGCAUUCUUUUAACCACUGAGCCUGCUCUCUACCCCCCCCCAAUAAUGAAAAUAUUAAUGACUAAUGGUCACUCGGUUCAUUUUCAGUCAAGAGAACAUUCAGAAGCUAUAACAGAAGUUGGAACACUUAUUAAAAUGCUAAUGAAACAAUAUAAAAAGGAUACUGUCUAGAAGCGGAAAGAGAUUAUGUUCAUAUUUUUAUUGCUAUUUGGUAACAUACAUUUUCCUAUAUUUCCCCAAGGCACAUUAACUUCAUAUACUCAGAUGGUGAUGGUGUGAUUGACAGACUAUUAUUCUGCAACAGGUUUAAGAACCAAAAUAUCCAUUCUACUUCAAUGAGUAAUCAUACUUACAGGAGAGGAAUUAUAGGAAAGAUAAUAAAGGUGGACAAAAAGUUAUGCCCAGAGAUAGUCAACUCCAAUAUUUUGUUAGGUUACAGACGAAAUUAAAGCAAUUUAAAUGUCAAUAUCAAGAAACUUGUGCCUAGUGUGCACUACAAGAAAAAAAUAUGUAUAUAUAAAGCGGUAAAACCAUGCAGUAGAACUUUAUAGUGACUAUCACAUGCUUAAUAAAAUGAUUUACAUAGAAUUUAAAUGGCCUAGGAAGACAGUUAUGAUGCUACUUAACUACAGAAAAUACUAUAAAUGAAAAAAAGUUUAAGUAUGUUAAGAAUAGCUACUUUUAUUGAGAGGUUACAAAUAACUUAUUUUCUUUAUUGUUAUAAUAUUCUACAGUGGACAUUAGUACUAGAGUUAAAAAUAACAUUUACGGCUGCUGUCGGUACACGCAUUUAAUCCUAGCACCUGAGAGGCAGAGGCAAACAGAUCUCUUGAGUUCAAGGCCAGCCUGGUCUACAGAGUGAGUUCCAGGGCAACCAGGGAUCUCCGAGAAACCUUGUCUCAAAAAAUAUACAAACAAACAAACAAACAAACAAAAACAAAACACCAUUUAUGUAUUUGUUUAAACAUACCCCAUUAACAAACAGUCUCUACAUGGCUGUCAGAACUGUCUACAGUGGAGAAUCCUCUUUCUGGUCUGUGUGAUUCCAUACAUAAAUGUGGUCAUGCACAGUACCCACGCUACACUGGCUGAAACUAGCAAGUGACCUUUGGGAGAUAGGCGAGGAGGGAAUCUGUGCGUGAGGCUUUUUCUCUCUAAGGCUGAACCGCCACCUCCAGAUGAGAAAGAGGGAACCUAUCCACUGAACCAACUCCAACUGUGAAGACACAGGAUGCCUCUCCGGCACAGAAAGUCUUUCCUAAGUAGAAAUACUUGGCUGAUAAUUUGUAUACAUGACCAGACACCACAUGCAGAUAAUCAUUGCAAAUCACUAGAGAUUACAGGAAACAUAAAGUUUAAUGUUCCUGCCAGACUCUAAUCUAUAUAUUUCACAUUAACAUUAAAUACUUUAUAAAAUAUGUGUCACGUAAUUUGUAGAUAUUUAUGGAAACCACCUGCAUGUUAAAGUUUAAGGAACUCAAACACCAACAACAGAUACCUAGAUAAAAUUUACCUAGCCAUUCGACAAACGUUUAUGGCCCACCUACAAUGAACUAUGUUCCAUAGCAGGCGCGAGAAGACAGUAUUAAAAACUAGACACUGUCCCUCUCCUCAGGAGUGUACAUUGCUAAGUGGUGACAAAUUAACACAGAAAUAAGUUGUAUUUUGAAGCUAACAUAGAGAAGUAAUUUUAAAAAAAAUUAUCCACACAAAUCCUAGUAAUUGAGCUCUGUUAAUACAGGGGAAGCUACUGUCAGCUUAGCAUGUAAAACCGAUGGAAACCACAGCCGCCUGGUGCUCUCAGUCUCUGAACACACGGCUGUGCACUGGAGUACCACUUCAGUGUUUAUGUCUUAAAGACAAUGGCCGUGGCCGUGAGCAGGGAGGAAGAACGGUGACUGCACACCGCAUGCUUAAACAUCUCCUUUCCAUGUACAUAAGGAUCUUUCAAAGCCACAAUGCUGCUGGACUAAGUGGAUACAAACCAAUCUUGGCCAUGCUGGUAACGAACUUUCCUCUGUCUCCUCUCCCAGGCUUUCACUGGGCCAUCAGCAGAGGGUGGAUUCCCUCAGGAUCUCAUCAGAGUCCUGGGGGUAAGGACUGAAACCAUCUCCCAGGAGGACGAAGCUCUAGCAUUCUGGACAGCUGACCAAGGACCCAUCCCUAACAAUCACCAAGUCCUUUCUUAUUUAUCUUGUUUUUUUGGUUUUGUUCUUUUGAGACAUCUUCUCACUAUGUAGCCUUGGCUGGCCCAGAGCGUGCUCUGUCCAUCAGGCUCGGCUCAGCAGAUCAACCCACCUCUGCUUCCUGAGUGUUGGUAUUAAAGGCUUUGCCCCACUAUGCCUAGCCUUUUGAAAAAUACAUCUCUACUGAAAUGAAAGGGUAACACAAGACCAGCGCUUUAUUCCAGGCCCCACAGGGCUCCACUCAGGCCUUCACCCCACACCCUGCCGUUGCCUUGGGAACCCCCUCUCCUUGGGGACCCCCUCUCCCUGGGGACGCCUUCUCCCUGGAGACCCCCUCUCCUUGGAGACUCCCUCUCCUUGGGGACUCCCUCUCCUUGGGGACCCCCUCUCCCUGGGGACGCCUUCUCCCUGGAGACUCCCUCUCCUUGGGGACCCCCUCUACCUGGGGACGCCCUGUCCUUGGGACCCCCUCUCCUUGGAGACCCCCUCUCCUUGGGGACCCCCCUCUCCCUGGGGACGCCCUCUCCUUGGGACUCCCUCUCCUUGGGGAACCCUCUCCCUGGGGACUCCCUCUCCUUGGGGACUCCCUCUCCUUGGGGACCCCCUCUCCUUGGAGACCCCCUCUCCCUGGGGACGCCCUCUCCCUGGGGAUGCCCUCUCCUUGGGACCCCCUCUCCUUGGGACUCCCUCUCCUUGGGAACCCCCUCUCCUUGGGGACUCCCUCUCCUUGGGACCCCCUCUCCUUGGGGACUCCCUCUCCUUGGGGAUCCCCUCUCCUUGGGGGGGACUCCCUCUCCAAGCUGUCCGGGUUUCACAGGAUGCUGCAUUUUUAAUAUUAAAGCCGCUAUUACAGAAAA